AAGUCGUAACAAGGUUUCCGUAGGUGAACCUGCGGAAGGAUCAUUAACUAAACCGUACGCGGCGCUCCCCUUAGCCGGGGGGUGUCGCGGACCGUUCAAACCCUCCGUGUACCAAUACCUCUGUUGCUUCCCGCUCGAGCUUCGGCCCGCGGCGGGGAGGUCUACCUAAACUCUUUUGUCUCAAUGCAGUCUGUAGAUGGCGGCUAGUCCGCGAAAAUUUAAAAGUUAAAACUUUCAACAACGGAUCUCUUGGUUCUC
rnacentral:misc_RNA from 2 species